rnacentral:rRNA from 1 species
GAUGAACGCUGGCGGCGUGCCUAAUACAUGCAAGUCGAGCGAACAGACGAGGAGCUUGCUCCUUUGACGUUAGCGGCGGACGGGUGAGUAACACGUGGGUAACCUACCUAUAAGACUGGGAUAACUUCGGGAAACCGGAGCUAAUACCGGAUAAUAUUUCGAACCGCAUGGUUCGAUAGUGAAAGAUGGCUUUGCUAUCACUUAUAGAUGGACCUGCGCCGUAUUAGCUAGUUGGUAAGGUAACGGCUUACCAAGGCAACGAUACGUAGCCGACCUGAGAGGGUGAUCGGCCACACUGGAACUGAGACACGGUCCAGACUCCUACGGGAGGCAGCAGUAGGGAAUCUUCCGCAAUGGGCGAAAGCCUGACGGAGCAACGCCGCGUGAGUGAUGAAGGUCUUCGGAUCGUAAAACUCUGUUAUUAGGGAAGAACAAACGUGUAAGUAACUGUGAACGUCUUGACGGUACCUAAUCAGAAAGCCACGGCUAACUACGUG